UGUGGCUGGGGGUGAAAGGCCAAUCAAACCGGGAGAUAGCUGGUUCUCCCCGAAAGCUAUUUAGGUAGCGCCUCGUGAAUUCAUCUCCGGGGGUAGAGCACUGUUUCGGCUAGGGGGCCAUCCCGGCUUACCAACCCGAUGCAAACUGCGAAUACCGGAGAAUGUUAUCACGGGAGACACACGGCGGGUGCUAACGUCCGUCGUGAAGAGGGAAACAACCCAGACCGCCAGCUAAGGUCCCAAAGUCAUGGUUAAGUGGGAAACGAUGUGGGAAGGCCCAGACAGCCAGGAUGUUGGCUUAGAAGCAGCCAUCAUUUAAAGAAAGCGUAAUAGCUCACUGGUCGAGUCGGCCUGCGCGGAAGAUGUAACGGGGCUAAACCAUGCACCGAAGCUGCGGCAGCGACGCUGAUGCGUUGUUGGGUAGGGGAGCGUUCUGUAAGCCUGUGAAGGUGGCCUGUGAGGGUUGCUGGAGGUAUCAGAAGUGCGAAUGCUGACAUAAGUAACGAUAAAGCGGGUGAAAAGCCCGCUCGCCGGAAGACCAAGGGUUCCUGUCCAACGUUAAUCGGGGCAGGGUGAGUCGACCCCUAAGGCGAGGCCGAAAGGCGUAGUCGAUGGGAAACGGGUUAAUAUUCCCGUACUUGGUGUUACUGCGAAGGGGGGACGGAGAAGGCUAUGUUGGCCGGGCGACGGUUGUCCCGGUUUAAGCGUGUAGGUGUGUGUUCCAGGUAAAUCCGGUUCACUUUAACACUGAGGCGUGAUGACGAGGCACUACGGUGCUGAAGCAACAAAUGCCCUGCUUCCAGGAAAAGCCUCUAAGCAUCAGGUAACAUCAAAUCGUACCCCAAACCGACACAGGUGGUCAGGUAGAGAAUACCAAGGCGCUUGAGAGAACUCGGGUGAAGGAACUAGGCAAAAUGGUGCCGUAACUUCGGGAGAAGGCACGCUGACAC
rnacentral:rRNA from 2 species